CGAAGAACCUGCUUAGAAGUUGACCUUCUCCUGCUAAACCUUUGCCCCCUCCCAGCGUGGCCAUCGCUGCGGGAUGGGGGCAUUGCUGAGCACCCCCAGGGAACAGCCCGGCCCGGCAUCGCUCCGUCCCAUUGCUGUAGCGCUGAAUCAAAGCCCUCUUACAGUAACCGGCUCUGAUUGAGAACAUCCGCUCACCAAAGGCUUUCAGUGCUCUGGUGGGGGAAGAAGAAGAGGAGAAAAACCCCCAAACCCGUCCAUACACAGUGCCCCUGCAGCUGCCCCACACACCGUGACCCCAUAGCUGUGGGGUUCUGGUGCUGUCGGUGUGUCUGGCAGAGGCUCUGCAGCUCCUUCCAAACAAAGAGGGAUCUCUGGGCCGCCCUCCAUCCACCACCUCCCCUCGGUGGAAGCCUGCCCACGUCUUUUUGUGCAAAUCCUUCCCUCUCGGAUGCUAUUUGAUGUCUUCAAAGGGGCUAUUCUUAUGUGGAGAAAAGAGGGCGAGCUCAGGUCUGACAAGGCUCUUCGCUCGCAGCGCAGCUAUUUUUUCACUCGGAAGAGUGCCAGUUUGGGAUUUCAAGACAAAAAUAAAAUAAAAUAAAAUAAAAUAAAAUGCAUAUAUUCUCUUUUUCACCGGCUGAUAUUUGGGUGAAGAACUCGCAAAGUUGGGACACUGCAUCACCACGGGGAUGGGGAGGGAGGAAGGGGAGUGAGCACACGGCUCUG
ensembl:lncRNA